GAUGAACGCUAGCUACAGGCUUAACACAUGCAAGUCGAGGGACCGGGACACGGGAGAGUAACACGUAUCCAACCUGCCUUUUACUCGAGGAUAGCCGUUCGAAAGAAAGAUUAAUACCUGAUAUAAUGGAUGGGGAUGCGUUCCAUUAGGUUGUUGGUGAGGUAACGGCUUACCAAGCCUUCGCUGGAUAGGGGUGCUGAGGGGAAGGUCCCCCACAUUGGAGCUGAGACCCGGUCCAAACUCCUACGGGAGGCAGCAGUGAGGAAUAUUGGGCAAUGGGCGCUAGCCUGAACCAGCCAAGUAGCGUGAAGGAUGAAGGCUUAUGGGUCUUAUACUUCUUUUAUAUAAGAAUAUGUAUUAUAUGAAUAAGGAUCGGCUAACUCCGUGCCAGCAGCCGCGGUAAUUC
rnacentral:rRNA from 1 species